AAAGCAGGUCAUAGUGAUCCGGUGGUUCUGAAUGGAAGGGCCAUCGCUCAACGGAUAAAAGGUACUCCGGGGAUAACAGGCUGAUACCGCCCAAGAGUUCAUAUCGACGGCGGUGUUUGGCACCUCGAUGUCGGCUCAUCACAUCCUGGGGCUGAAGUAGGUCCCAAGGGUAUGGCUGUUCGCCAUUUAAAGUGGUACGCGAGCUGGGUUUAGAACGUCGUGAGACAGUUCGGUCCCUAUCUGCCGUGGGCGCUGGAGAACUGAGGGGGGCUGCUCCUAGUACGAGAGGACCGGAGUGGACGCAUCACUGGUGUUCGGGUUGUCAUGCCAAUGGCACUGCCCGGUAGCUAAAUGCGGAAGAGAUAAGUGCUGAAAGCAUCUAAGCACGAAACUUGCCCCGAGAUGAGUUCUCCCUGACUCCUUGAGAGUCCUGAAGGAACGUUGAAGACGACGACGUUGAUAGGCCGGGUGUGUAAGCGCAGCGAUGCGUUGAGCUAACCGGUACUAAUGAACCGUGAGGCUUAACCUUACAACGCCGAAG
rnacentral:rRNA from 1 species